AACGAACGCUGGCGGCAUGCCUAACACAUGCAAGUCGAACGAGACCUUCGGGUCUAGUGGCGCACGGGUGCGUAACGCGUGGGAAUCUGCCCUUGGGUUCGGAAUAACUCAGAGAAAUUUGAGCUAAUACCGGAUGAUGACGUAAGUCCAAAGAUUUAUCGCCCGAGGAUGAGCCCGCGUAGGAUUAGCUAGUUGGUGAGGUAAAGGCUCACCAAGGCGACGAUCCUUAGCUGGUCUGAGAGGAUGAUCAGCCACACUGGGACUGAGACACGGCCCAGACUCCUACGGGAGGCAGCAGUGGGGAAUAUUGGACAAUGGGCGAAAGCCUGAUCCAGCAAUGCCGCGUGAGUGAUGAAGGCCUUAGGGUUGUAAAGCUCUUUUACCCGGGAUGAUAAUGACAGUACCGGGAGAAUAAGCUCUGGCUAACUCCGUGCCAGCCGCCGCAGUAA
rnacentral:rRNA from 1 species